rnacentral:rRNA from 1 species
CCUACGGGGCGCAGCAGUGGGGAAUAUUGCACAAUGGGGGGAACCCUGAUGCAGCGACGCCGCGUGGGCGAUGGAGUAUUUCGGUAUGUAAAGCCCUAUCGGCAGGGAAGAAAAUGACAGUACCUGACUAAGAAGCCCCGGCUAACUACGUGCCAGCAGCCGCGGUAAUACGGAGGGGGCAAGCGUUAUCCGGAUUCACUGGGCGUAAAGGGAGCGCAGGCGGCACGGCAAGCCUGGGGUGAAAACCCGGGGCCCAACCCCGGGAGUGCAUUGGGAAGUGGCGCGCUAG